rnacentral:rRNA from 1 species
UCCCUACGGGGGGCAGCAGUAGGGAAUCUUCCACAAUGGACGCAAGUCUGAUGGAGCAACGCCGCGUGAGUGAAGAAGUAUUUCGGUAUGUAAAGCUCUAUCAGCAGGGAAGAGAAUGACGGUACCUGACUAAGAAGCCCCGGCUAACUACGUGCCAGCAGCCGCGGUAAUACGUAGGGGGCGAGCGUUAUCCGGAUUUACUGGGUGUAAAGGGAGCGUAGACGGUUCUGCAAGUCUGAAGUGAAAGCCCGUGGCUUAACCGCGGAACGGCUUUGGAAACUGUGGAACUGGAGUGCUGGAGAGGG